rnacentral:lncRNA from 1 species
GGAAGGAAAAGGCUGCAUCAUCAAUAGGUUGCUCCUAACCCCCAUGUAUGCUUCAUUUAGGCCCAUGAGAAACUGGAAUACCUUAUUCUCAUCAUCUUCCUGAAUUAUCCCAUUCUUAGCAGCACAGAUACAUCUCUGCCCAUGAUUUGUACACAUUGUACCUAACUCAUCCCACAGACCUUUGAGUUUGUUAAAAUAUGAGGCUACAUCUAAAGAACCG